rnacentral:tRNA from 1 species
GCGGAAAUAGCUCAGUUGGUAGAGCACAACCUCGCCAAGGUUGGGGUCGCGAGUUCGAGUCUCGUUUUCCGCU